GCGGCAGACGGGUGAGUAACGCGUGGGAACGUACCUUUUGCUACGGAAUAACUCAGGGAAACUUGUGCUAAUACCGUAUGUGCCCUUCGGGGGAAAGAUUUAUCGGCAAAGGAUCGGCCCGCGUUGGAUUAGCUAGUUGGUGAGGUAAAGGCUCACCAAGGCGACGAUCCAUAGCUGGUCUGAGAGGAUGAUCAGCCACACUGGGACUGAGACACGGCCCAGACUCCUACGGGAGGCAGCAGUGGGGAAUAUUGGACAAUGGGCGAAAGCCUGAUCCAGCAAUGCCGCGUGAGUGAUGGAGGCCUUAGGGUUGUAAAGCUCUUUUACCCGGGAUGAUAAUGACAGUACCGGGAGAAUAAGCUCCGGCUAACUCCGUGCCAGCAGCCGCGGUAAUACGGAGGGAGCUAGCGUUGUUCGGAAUUACUGGGCGUAAAGCGCACGUAGGCGGCUUUGUAAGUUAGAGGUGAAAGCCUGGAGCUUAACUCCAGAAUUGC
rnacentral:rRNA from 1 species